UCCCUUUUUUAUUGGUUUUUACACAAAUCUGUUCUCCCGCAUCCGUGAUCCGAGUCGAAGGGCUCAGCAUCCUGUUUCAGAGUCACAGAAUCGUUGGGGUUGGAAGGAGCUCUGGAGAUCAGCCAGUCCCACCGCCCGCCAAGGCAGGGCCACCUGGCGCAGGUGACACAGGAACGCGCCCAGAUAUUGCGGUUUCAUGAUGAAGCAUGAAGCACACUUCAGAACUGGCCUCAGUAAAGAGACUUUCAUUUAAUUAGCAGUUUCUCUGGUACCAUCUGAGACAGCAAGACAUGUCACCAAAAUGACUUCUGUCUCUAAUUCAGUCAUUUAUUUUGGGAUCAUUUCUUCAGGAUAGGAAGAAGAAAACACAAUCCUGUAUGCAUGUCAAAAUGGACUAGAAAUUAAGAGAUGAAAAAACAACCCUGAUUUUCCUACACCUCUGCAUAAAUCUUGACAUUUUACUCCACUUCGUUCUCCUCACAGUCAUUUACUUUUAUGGCCUCUUUUGCCCGAGAGAUAAACAAUCUCUGCUGAUUUAUCUAGUCACCUCUGCAAAGCAUUAAUAUUGAUAGAGUGAAAACAUGUCAAGCAAGUUCCUUUCCACAUAAGGAAUUUUCCCCUGAAGAAGAGGAGCAAUAGAAAUGCUGGGCUUUUCGUGUUCAUUUAUAAGCUGUUUAGGAAGGGAGGAGCACACUUUCUGUCAAUGGUACUGGAGAAAGCCCAGCAGGUUCGAUUCUGGCAUGGAAAUCUUACUGGCAGCAGUGGCUUUGUUCUUCUCCAUCCAGCCCAGAGCAGAUGAAAUGGCUGUGCCAUGCACAUUCCAGAGGAAUGCAAGAGGCACAGCACUGAGAACUCUCACCCAGCACAGCCUGCUCUGCAGCUGCCACUCAUAACCAAGACUCUGUUGCUAAAUAAAAAUGUCUAAUAAUGGA